rnacentral:rRNA from 1 species
AGAGUUUGAUCCUGGCUCAGGAUGAACGCUAGCGACAGGCUUAACACAUGCAAGUCGAGGGGCAGCAAUUUGUAGCAAUACAAAGUUGGCGACCGGCGCACGGGUGAGUAACGCGUAUGCAACCUACCUACAACAGAAGAAUAAUCCGGCGAAAGUCGGUCUAAUACUUCAUAAAACAGGGACACCGCAUGGUGUUAUUUGUUAAAGAUUUAUCGGUUGUGGAUGGGCAUGCGUACCAUUAGGCAGUUGGUGAGGUAACGGCUCACCAAGCCUACGAUGGUUAGGGGUUCUGAGAGGAAAGUCCCCCACACUGGUACUGAGACACGGACCAGACUCCUACGGGAGGCAGCAGUGAGGAAUAUUGGUCAAUGGGCGAGAGCCUGAACCAGCCAAGUCGCGUGAAGGAUGACGGCCCUAUGGGUUGUAAACUUCUUUUGCAGGGGAAUAAAGAUAUUCACGUGUGGGUAGUUGUAUGUACCCUGCGAAUAAGCAUCGGCUAACUCCGUGCCAGCAGCCGCGGUAAUACGGAGGAUGCGAGCGUUAUCCGGAUUUAUUGGGUUUAAAGGGUGCGUAGGUGGGCUAUUAAGUCAGUGGUGAAAGUUUGUCGCUCAACGAUAAAAUUGCCGUUGAAACUGGUGGUCUUGAGUAUGGAUGAAGUAGGCGGAAUGCGUGGUGUAGCGGUGAAAUGCAUAGAGAUCACGCAGAACUCCGAUUGCGAAGGCAGCUUACUAAGGCAUAACUGACACUGAAGCACGAAAGCGUGGGUAUCAAACAGGAUUAGAUACCCUGGUAGUCCACGCAGUAAACGAUGAUAACUGGGCGUAUGCGAUAUACAGUAUGCUCCUAAGCGAAAGCGUUAAGUUAUCCACCUGGGGAGUACGCCGGCAACGGUGAAACUCAAAGGAAUUGACGGGGGCCCG